UCUGCCCGCUGGCGGCGUGCCUAAUACAUGCAAGUUGAGCGAACAGACGAGGAGCUUGCUCCUCUGACGUUAGCGGCGGACGGGUGAGUAACACGUGGAGAACCUACCUAUAAGACUGGGAUAACUUCGGGAAACCGGAGCUAAUACCGGAUAAUAUAUUGAACCGCAUGGUUCAAUAGUGAAAGACGGUUUUGCUGUCACUUAUAGAUGGAUCCGCGCCUCAUUAGCUAGUUGGUAAGGUAACGGCUUACCAAGGCAACGAUGCUUAGCCGACCUGAGAGGGGGAUCGGCACCACUGGAACUGAGAGACGGUCCAGACUCCUCCGGAAGGAACAAGAAGGGAAUCUUCCGAAAUGGGCGAAAGCCUGACGGAGCAACGCCGCGUGAGUGAUGAAGGUCUUCGGAUCGAAAAACUCUGUUAUUAGGGAAGACCAAAUGUGUAAGUAACUAUGCACGUAUUGACGGUACCUAAUCAGAAAGCCACGGCUAACUACGUG
rnacentral:rRNA from 1 species